CAGGAGAUAGUUUAAGGAGAAUUCUGGCUUUGGGAGUCAGGGGUGGAAGUUAGAGUCUUUCUUUUCUGA
rnacentral:tRNA from 1 species